rnacentral:rRNA from 1 species
AUGCACACGCCAUUAGUUUCGACGACAUGUGAUGACAGAUGUUCUACUGGACUUUUUUAUGGUUCACAAGCAGAGGGAGGGCGUACCUUUGGCCUUCCUCCUGACCAUGUCGGAGGCGGUGAUCCACUGGACGAGGUCCCAGGAGAGCGCGUACCCCAUGCCGAGCAUGAACGGCGGCGACACCCGGUCCAUGAACGGCAGGCCCACGCCGUAGUACAUGUCCUCCCGCGGCGCCCGCCGCAGCGUCUCCACCAGCGCGUCCAGCCGGAGGUACGUGUCGUCGUCCACCUUCAUCACGUAGUCGUACGGCGGCCUGCGGCCCUCGCCGCCGGAGGCGCCGAGCAUGGCCGGCAGGUCCGAGAAGUAGGUGUACGUCUUGCCGUCCUCGGCGUUCUCGGUGCAGUUGAAGAGCAGCACGUCGCCGUAGGCGCGGCGCUCCAGCGCCACGAACGCGCCGUGCUCGGGCGGCAUCGGCCGCGCGCAGAGCGCGAACCGGACGUCCACCCGCGCCGCGCCGCGGAGGGCCGCCAUCUGCUGCAGCGCGUACGCCAUCCGGAUCAGGUGCCGCCGGGAGUGCUUCUUGGGCAUCGUGUGCACGCCGAGGAGGAUGCGGAGCUGGCCCGGGCGGCGGCCCCCGUCGUCCGCCACCAACGCCGCCGACGCCGACGCCGCUGGUUGGGCGGCGGCGGCGGCGCGGACGUCGGCUCCCGUGAAGCAGCUGGCGACGCUGACCGGGUUGCGCAGGUAGGCGGGGAAGGCGAUGCAGAGCAGGGUGAGGAGGAGGACGAGGGCCAUGGCGCAGUAGGACGGCCUCCCGAAGUACGACGAGGACGACAUUGCUCGACCUUGGGUUGUGUGCAAUGA